UAAGGGUAACUUGCGGAAGAAUCAUUUUG
rnacentral:rRNA from 1 species